rnacentral:rRNA from 1 species
UUAACAUUCAUAAGCGGAGGAAAAGAAACUAACAAGGAUUCCCCUAGUAACUGCGAGUGAAGCGGGAAAAGCUCAAAUUUAAAAUCUGGUGGCCUUUGGCCAUCCGAGUUGUAAUUUAGAGAAGCGUCUUCCGCGCUGGACCGUGCACAAGUCUCCUGGAACGGAGCGUCAUAGAGGGUGAGAAUCCCGUCUUUGGCACGGACAUGCCAGGGCUUUUGUGAUGCGCUCUCGAAGAGUCGAGUUGUUUGGGAAUGCAGCUCAAAAUGGGUGGUGAACUCCAUCUAAAGCUAAAUAUUGGCGAGAGACCGAUAGCGAACAAGUACCGUGAGGGAAAGAUGAAAAGCACUUUGGAAAGAGAGUGAAACAGUACGUGAAAUUGUUGAAAGGGAAACGCUUGAAGUCAGUCGCGUUGACCGAGACUCAGCCUUGCCUUGGCUUGGUGUACUUCUCGGCUGACGGGUCAGCAUCAAUUUUGCCCCUUGGAUAAUGGCGAGGGAAAUGUGACACCUUUACGGUGUGUUAUAGUCUCUUGUCGCAUGCAAGGGUUGGGAUUGAGGAACUCAGCACGCGCCUUUGGGUGUCGGGGUUUUUGCCCACGAUACGUGCUUAGGAUGUUGGCGUAAUGGCUUUAAACGACCCGUCUUGAAACACGGACCAAGGAGUCUAACAUGCCUGCGAGUGUUCGGGUGGAAAACCCGUGCGCGCAAUGAAAGUGAAAGUUGGGACCUCUGUCGUGGAGGGCACCGACGCCCGGACCAGACCUUUUGUGACGGCUCUGCGGUAAAGCAUGUAUGUUAGGACCCGAAAGAUGGUGAACUAUGCCUGAAUAGGGUGAAGCCAGAGGAAACUCUGGUGGAGGCUCGUAGCGAUUCUGACGUGCAAAUCGAUCGUCAAAUUUGGGUAUAGGGGCGAAAGACUAAUCGAACCAUCUAGUAGUGGUCGCGAACCCA